rnacentral:rRNA from 1 species
GACGAACGCUGGCGGCGUGCCUAAUACAUGCAAGUCGAGCGAACUUUUGGGAGCUUGCUCCCAAAAGUUAGCGGCGGACGGGUGAGUAACACGUGGGCAACCUGCCUAUAAGACUGGGAUAACUUCGGGAAACCGGAGCUAAUACCGGAUAAUUCUUUUCUACUCAUGUAGGAAAGCUGAAAGACGGUUUCGGCUGUCACUUAUAGAUGGGCCCGCGGCGCAUUAGCAAGUUGGUGAGGAAAAGGCUCACCAAGGCGACGAUGCGUAGCCGACCUGAGAGGGUGAUCGGCCACACUGGGACGGAGACACGGCCCAGACUCCUACGGGAGGCAGCAGUAGGGAAUCUUCCGCAAUGGACGAAAGUCUGACGGAGCAACGCCGCGUGAGUGAUGAAGGUUUUCGGAUCGUAAAACUCUGUUGUUAGGGAAGAACAAGUACCAGAGUAACUGCUGGUACCUUGACGGUACCUAACCAGAAAGCCACGGCUAACUACGUGCCAGCAGCCGCAGUAAGAC